GACGAACGCUGGCGGCGUGCUUAACACAUGCAAGUCGAACGGAAAGGCCCUGCUUUUGUGAGGUGCUCGAGUGGCGAACGGGUGAGUAACACGUGAGUAACCUGCCCUUGACUUUGGGAUAACUUCAGGAAACUGGGGCUAAUACCGGAUAGGAGCUCCUGCUGCAUGGUGGGGGUUGGAAAGUUUCGGCGGUUGGGGAUGGACUCGCGGCUUAUCAGCUUGUUGGUGGGGUAGUGGCUUACCAAGGCUUUGACGGGUAGCCGGCCUGAGAGGGUGACCGGCCACAUUGGGACUGCGAUACGGCCCAGACUCCUACGGGAGGCAGCAGUGGGGAAUAUUGCACAAUGGGCGGAAGCCUGAUGCAGCAACGCCGCGUGCGGGAUGACGGCCUUCGGGUUGUAAACCGCUUUCGCCUGUGACGAAGCGUGAGUGACGGUAAUGGGUAAAGAAGCACCGGCUAACUACGUG
rnacentral:rRNA from 1 species